rfam:Solanum lycopersicum cultivar Heinz 1706 chromosome 10, whole genome shotgun sequence.
GCUUAUGAUGAUAUAGUCCAUGUUAAUGAGGUGUGGUGGAUCCAAGACCUUGCUUUGCAGGGAGAACCACUUGGUGAAACUAUAUUACAUAUGAUCAUAUUGGAUUUUUUCUGAGGC